CCUACGGGGGGCAGCAGUGAGGAAUAUUGGUCAAUGGGAGAGAUCCUGAACCAGCCAAGCCGCGUGAGGGAAGACGGCUUUCGGGUUGUAAACUUCUUUUAUCAGGGACGAAGCAAGUGACGGUACCUGAUGAAUAAGCACCGGCUAACUACGUGCCAGCAGCCGCGGUAAUACGUAGGGUGCGAGCGUUAAUCGGAAUUACUGGGCGUAAAGGGUGCGCAGGCGGUUGAGUAAGAC
rnacentral:rRNA from 1 species